GACGAACGCUGGCGGCGUGCUUAACACAUGCAAGUCGAACGCUGAAGCACCAGCUUGCUGGUGUGGAUGAGUGGCGAACGGGUGAGUAAUACGUGAGUAACCUGCCCUUGACUCUGGGAUAAGCCCGGGAAACUGGGUCUAAUACUGGAUGCUACAUGUCACCGCAUGGUGGUGUGUGGAAAGGGUUUACUGGUCUUGGAUGGGCUCACGGCCUAUCAGCUUGUUGGUGAGGUAAUGGCUCACCAAGGCGACGACGGGUAGCCGGCCUGAGAGGGUGACCGGCCACACUGGGACUGAGACACGGCCCAGACUCCUACGGGAGGCAGCAGUGGGGAAUAUUGCACAAGGGGCGAAAGCCUGAUGCAGCGGCGCCGCGUGAGGGAUGACGGCCUUCGGGUUGGAAACCUCUUUCAGCAGGGAAGAAGCCACAAGUGACGGUACCUGCAGAAGAAGCGCCGGCUAACUACGUG
rnacentral:rRNA from 1 species